CUGUUCAGUCUCAGAAAUUGUCAGAGCACGUUGCUCACUUGGAACUCUCCAAGGUUCUUCAACUACAGCCUGUAUUGCUGCCCCAUCAUGCUCAGCCUCAGGCACAGAUAACCAAGCUGCCAAGAAGGCAGUGGUCUUAACUUGAGCUUCUAACCAUCAAGGUCUGAUAUCUUACUCUUUCUAAUAGAGGAAUUGCUGGGAAGAAAUCCAAAAAUUAUUUGGUGCCAAUUAUUUAGCACCUAUUCCAAACAUCCUGCUUCUCCAGAUUUGUAACUUUCAUAAUUCUGACUGAAGCUAGCUGGGGCCGAUGGCAGCUGGAAUCCAACUACAUCUGCAGGGCAUCACCUUGGUUACCCCUGGUUUGGCUGAUGCCAGAGACAAGCAACAGAAUAUUUGCAGUGCAAUCAUUUUUAUGUCUUCUUGAAAGCAAACCCCAUUGAAUUUAACUCCCAGGGAGAAUGCCUGAAGGGGGCAAUGCCCUCACAAAAAUGAUGAGUCACUACUAGCUACAAUGGCGACACACACCUCCAGGUUCAGAGGGAGUGCCACUGAAUGCCAGCUGCUGGGAAGAAAGUGAGCCCCGUCCCACUGAAGUCAGGAAGACCUAUUUCCAAUGAAACAUGGAGCAGACUGGGCUGCACAGCAGUUUCAUGCAUGCAGUGAUGUUCUGCUCUCAGCAACACAUCUAUUAAUUGUGAUAUCCUGAAAAUGACAUCAUUGCAGAGUUUGUGUCAUAAUCAACAGAGCUGCAGUGAGUACAUGUGGGCAUAAUGGGGCUCUCGUACAACUUCCUAUUACCAAGAGAAAUCGAAGGGAGUCAGCCAAAAUUGGAAGAGCACAAUUAAAGAACAUCCAGUGUGGCAGGGCCUGCCCUGUGGAACUCUUGGCCAAAGAACAUAUGGCAGGAGCCAUCACUGCUCCCUCUCUAGACAUCUUUUAAAAACUGUAUUCUUUAGGCAGGCCUUUGGUAUUUGAUUUUUUUAAAGAAGGUUUCAUGGAUAUAUUGUGUUUUUACUGUUAUUGUAGUACUUGUGUUGUUAUGUUGUACACCACCUUGUUAUAUAUUCCAUGGAAGUGUGGUUUAAAAAUAUCUGAAAAAUAAAUGAUAGUUAUGAUAAUAAUAAGGAUGGUAUCCAAGUCACCCGUUCCGUCAGUGCAAGGAUUUUCACUUAUACAACAGAAUUUCUCCCCCUCUACUCCUGUGCACUCCCUGUGCGCACCCUGCAUCCUCCCCAAAUCUGCUCCAGAGGGUUAGAGGGAGGCCCAGCACCAGACAGCGCACUGGCUGAGAGGGCCCUCUGUGGCUGGGACUGGGGGGGUGUAGCUCCACUUCACAAUCUGCACUAGCAUUGGGUCACAGAUCAUGUACUCUGUGAGAUGAUGCUGGCACUGAUCACCCUGCCAGACCCCCCCUUACUGCCAUGGGCUGGCCGUGCCACUUUCUGUGUCUCCACGUCAGUGUGCUGUGAUUGUAUGCUUGCCGUUGCCCAAGAUGGCGGUGGGGAGCACAACAUGCCCCAGAUGCCAUCUUGAGUGAUGGCAGACAUAUGUAUGCAGGGCACUAACACACUGAUGCAGCCGGUCCUAUUAAAACCCUGGAGCUGGAGCAGCCGAGGGCCCACUGAACAGAUUUAGGGGUGUGCAGGCGGGGAAAGGAGGAUUGAAGUUCCAUUGCACAAGUGGAAAUCCUUGCCCUGAUGGAACAAUUUAGUUGGAUAUCACCCUAAUUAAAUUACAGGGCCAGUCAAAUUACAAGAGUACCAGACAUUUUGGAAAACAGACUUCUGGUCAUGCUCAGUGGGCAGAAGCCUUAUGCAAUAGCUAACAUGGCCUGAAAUGUGAAUAGAUUCCCAAACAGCAAGAAGCCAGUUCAAAGGAGAGCAUUAACUCAGCAGCUGCAUUUUUUUAAGGCUCAGCCCAUUUCAUAUAAUCUACAAUUGCAAGCAAGGCUUCGCCAAAACUAUAGAGUUCAAGUUUUCAGCAACUCUAUUAACAUUCUAGAAAGCAACUUUCACAUAAUACUGAACUGCGAUGAAAGGGGGAGCUAUACAAAGAGAUGUAAAGCUCUUGGGCCAAUAAACUCUGAGGAGGGGAAGGCUGAGAGGAUCGACACACUACUUUGUAAGUCAAGAUUAACGGGAAACUGAACCAUAAAGGAACUUCCCCAACCCGGUUCCCUCAAGAGGCUUUGGAGUCCAAUUCCCAUCAGCCCCAGCCAGCAUGGCAGUGGUCUGGGGUAGCAGUUAUCCAACAACACUUGGAGGGCACCAGGUUGGGGGUGGCUGCCUUAAAGAAACCAAAACAGAAGUGCCAAAGCCAAGCUCACAAGGAGAGGUGAGGAGGGAUGAGGAUGGAGUACUCAGCCACUAUGCUACAAUUUAUCAGACUGAGAUCAUGACAUCAGAGUCAGGCCAAAGUAUGACUAAUGUUCCAUAACUGAGACUGUCACAGCCUGAUCCACUGAUCCCAAGGAUGUGGCGGCAGAGAACACCUCAUCAAAGAUCUUGAUACCCUCACAGAUGCUGAGUUCCUCAUAUAAGUGGAAAACAUUGACAUGAGCAGGCAGGGUAUUAUCAAUGCAAAACUCCAAGGCCUUCCCUGGUCCUGGGGUUAUACUGUCAGCCUCUACCAUCCUACUUCACAAAACUUGUGAAGAAGAAAAAAGAUCCUCUCUCUCUGUAGGAUUAAUCCUUUGUCUUAUGCUUCAUUAAGUGGGGGUGGGGGUGGGGGGUCAUACAGAGUGCAACACUAUGCAUGUUUAUUUAGAAGGAAGUCCCAUUGCUUUCAAUAGGCCUUACUUAUAGGUAAAUGCAUACCUGUAUAUAGGAUUGCAGCCAUAAGCAACUGGAGAUGCACUCCUUUUGUCCCCUUCUGCUUGUAGGCAAUGCAUUUGCUUCUCAUUUUUGCAGUGAGGUUUAGAGCAACGGUCCAGAAAAUAAAAACACACACAUUUUCCACUUCUCCCCAGAUUUUACUGCUACCCAAUGCCCAUUUUUAUUUUGGUAAAAAGUUUUGCAGUUCAUCAAACUAAGCAUUUGGAAUGUUUUGAGCAAUCUGAAAUGCUGCUUUUUUAUGAUCACAGCAAAACCAUUUAUCAGGAGAGAGAUCAUAUCAGACAAAAUAAUUUUUCUCUCUUCCCCUGUACCCCGCAACUUGUUUUCCAGUUACUUUUUUUUAUCUUAAGAGAUCAAGAAAUCAUUAUGGGUGGCUAAGUCACAAAGCAGAAAACACACACACAAAAAGCUAAUUGAAAUUGGAGCAUGUCCCUAUGCUUUCAGGUCCCACUAUCCAUCAUCUUUUUUCCAGGAAUACACAGCAUUUCAGGGCACCAUAGGUGGUAGUGGUAAACUUUUUCAAAAAGUUUACUCUUCUGAAAAUCAUUCUAUUUAACCAUAACAUUAUUUUUGCAAUGUGAUAAAGAAGAAGCUGCUGUUUUGACCUGCUUGGAUUUCAGCAAUGAUGAUAUCCCUGUAGCAUGUAUUGUUGAAAGUAAAAUACUAAUAAGCACCUUUUUGAGAUUUCCAUGUUUUAAUUGUAGUUAUUUUGUGGCACAAGGAUCGUUCUUAUGUGGCCAAUGAAUCUCUUAAGACUGCAAUCCUGUGCCCACUUUCCUGGGAUUAAGUGAAGAU